rnacentral:lncRNA from 1 species
UUCCAGCCUCUAUUUAUCAGCACUGGGGCUGAAAGCAAAGAGAGAAAGAAAAAAAAAAAAAAAGCUUCCUGGGCUUGGUUCGACAAAGCGGAACAACUUUGGCAGCGGUCACAAAGCAGCACGACGGCAAAGUUUGCAUCGGCGGUGGCCAGAAACCCUGAGAAUCCCACAAUGCGCCCAUUUGUUGUCACAGCGGGUGGCUGGAUUCCCGCAGAAAGGAGCUUUCAGUGGAAAUAUUCAAAAGUUCAAACUCUUCUAGCGACGCAAGGUUUAGCUCGAUUGUGCUAUGGGCACAAAGGGACAGUGUUUCCCCGGGAGCAGGGAGGUUUUGUGGCUGGAAACACGGCUCUUUUCUUCUGCAGACAGAAGCCGCGUGAGCAGAUUCGAGGCGUUAUCGAAGCAGGAUCACGGUCAGAGACUUGCCUUAAAGGGAGAAGGCAGAAAAGGGAGCAAGGAGGGCAACAGGCACCUACAGGCAAGACGAGCCAAAGAGUCAGCCGAGGCGCCUCCGAGUCACCUGAUGUGGAAUAAAUCUCCACCUGAUGGAGCAACGCCAGCAUGGGUGGAAGCACAGCCUGGGUUGGCGUUUCCGAGAGGAGCCAGGAAGAGAUUUGCAGCCGCGUUUCCAGCCUGGGAAGCUUGUGAGGAGGCUGAUAUUCAUGAAAAUGAAAGCGCAGCAGUAUAAUAAAUAAAGGGCAGCUCCACCAAUUCCCCCCAUCAUGUCCCAGAGCCAGGAAGGAUCUGGAAGUCACUGUCAGAGCGACCCAACUUAGGGAAACCUGCCUCAGAGCAGGAGACCCCCAAACCUCCGUCCCCUGGAAGGGACAGUUCAGUGUCACCCCCUGGCCCUACCGCCCUGGGCACAGUCCCUGACACCGGGGUGCCGCGGACAGCAGGGACCGUGUCUCAGUGCCAGGGUGGGGCUGCCAGGCUGCCCCCGUCCCCUGGUUUGCCCUGCUCCCCCUGGGCCUGGGGGGGUGCCUUCCUCGUACCCCCGUGCCCGGUGCUUCCCAUACCCCUUUUCCAGUGCUCCCGGGACCCCCGUACCCAGAUGUUCCCAGCUGCUCUGUGCCCGGUGCUCCCAGGACCCCUAUAGCCAGAUGUGUUCCGUGCUCCCCUGCACCCGGUGCUCCCGGUUCCUCUGUUGCYGGUUCUCCCGGGACCCCCCGUGCCCAGGUGCUCCCAGUUCCUCUGUGCCCGGUGCUCCCGGGACCCCUAUACCCAGAUGCGCUCCCGGCUUUGCCUUCCCCGGUGACCCCGAGACACACGUGCCCGGUGCUCCCGGGACCGCCGUGCCCAGGUGCUCCCGGCUUCCCCGCUCCCGGCUCCCCCGUGCCCAGGUGCUCCCGGGACCCCUAUACCCAGAUGCGCUCCCGGCUUUGCUUUCUCUGGUGCCCCCGAGACCCCCGUGCCCGGUGCUCCAGGCUCUCCUGUGCCCGGUGCUCCCGGGACCGCCGUGCCCAGGUGCUCCCGGCUCCCCCGUGCCCAG